rnacentral:lncRNA from 1 species
GACUCGCAUGAGACCCUGCAGCGAGCUCUAGACCUUGGACUGAAUACUUCAGUCUCCAGUGUGCAAACAGACCCUCUGCAGUCUUCCACACCCAGCUCUGUGGGUGGCCAUUGUGGGAAACUGCAUUAAGGAAUUAUCUAUGGUCCCACGAAGAGGCUGUGAAAGACCCACAGCUGGAACUCAAAUGUGAGACUCUUAUCACUCCUCCACAUCUGCUUUGUCCUUUGCACUUUAACAUUAUUAAUUUCCAUGGUCCUAUUGUAGCUUUGUUAGCAACACAAAAUGUCACUAAAUGUGCACAAAGCAUGAAAAUACACCUCCCCCCAAAAAAACGAAAAGAAAAAAAAGAAAAUACAUCCCACAGUUUAAUAAUAUAAAAUUGUGAGAUGGACUAAAUUGUAAUAGAUUUACAUCCUAAAGGACCAUAAUUAGCAUGAGUUAAU